GAUGAACGCUGGCGGCGUGCUUAACACAUGCAAGUCGAACGGUGAAGCAGGAGCUUGCUCUUGUGGAUCAGUGGCGAACGGGUGAGUAACACGUGAGCAACCUGCCCCUGACUCUGGGAUAAGCGCUGGAAACGGCGUCUAAUACUGGAUAUGUGAUGUGACCGCAUGGUCUGCAUCUGGAAAGAAUUUCGGUUGGGGAUGGGCUCGCGGCCUAUCAGCUUGUUGGUGAGGUAAUGGCUCACCAAGGCGUCGGCGGGUAGCCGGCCUGAGAGGGUGACCGGCCACACUGGGACUGAGACACGGCCCAGGCUCCUACGGGAGGCAGCAGUGGGGAAUAUUGCACAAUGGGCGGAAGCCUGAUGCAGCAACGCCGCGUGAGGGAUGACGGCCUUCGGGUUGUAAACCUCUUUUAGCAGGGAAGAAGCGAAAGUGACGGUACCAGCAGAAAAAGCACCGGCUAACUACGUGCCAGCAGCCGCCGUAA
rnacentral:rRNA from 1 species